rnacentral:rRNA from 1 species
UACGUAGGGCGCAAGCGUUGUCCGGAAUUAUUGGGCGUAAAGAGCUCGUAGGCGGUUUGUCGCGUCUGCUGUGAAAUCCCACGGCUCAACCGUGGAACUGCUUGGCAUACUGGCGAUCUUGAGCCACUUAGGGGCAACCGGAACAAACGGUGGAGCGGUGAAAUGCGUAGAUAUCGUUUGGAACGCCAAUGGUGAAAACAGGUUGCUGGGAGUGUGCUGACGCUGAGACACGAAAGCCAGGGGAGCGAACGGG